GGGCUCGUGGUUUAGUGGUAUAAUACUCCCUUAGCAUCAAGCCCUUGAUUGGGAGUGGUCCGGGGUUCGAUUCCCCGCGAGUCCA